AGUUUUGGUGCUGUGAAAUGGUACCUAGUUCCCUGCAAUUUGAACAUUUUAACAUGUGUAAGCUCUCUUAAACGUUUAGGAGUGCUAAAAAAAUCUUAUUGUAACAACUAUAAUGUAAUAUAAACAUUAUCCUUCUUAAAAUACUACAGUGACAAUGACAUUAUGAAUCUGCAACCAUUUUUUGUUAUUAGAUUUGCUUACCAAUUGGAGAAUUUGAACUCUUUGGAUCAAAAUGGAUUAGAAUACAUGAGGGUUUUGAAAAAAAAAAAACUGUAAUUUUUUUAGAGAGCACAACUAAAGAAUUUUAAUAUACUCUUAAGUCUUAACUGCU
rnacentral:lncRNA from 1 species